UUAGACGGCAAAUGGCCAUUAAAUGAAUCUAUUUGGUCAAAGAUUCAAAAGAAUCGAGUCACUGAAUCGAAAUUCCCACCACUUAGUUCUGACUGAGUAAGCAGUUAGCUCACUGCGUUUGAAGCACAGCCACUUGCAACCGUAGACCUACAGGCUAUACCGCUUGCUUUAACCCUUACCGAGAAGCUGUCAGUCGGGUCUGAAGAGGGCGGUUUCGUUGUGCGCGAGGAUUGUCGGUUCGAGUGAGUGACGGUAAAUGAAGUCCUUCCAAGAAGCGCGGUACAAGCGAUGCCACCGGUUUGUCUCCGAGUAGAACUUAUUUGGGGGUUUGUAGUCGAUUUUAUUUGAUCGGUGAGCAAUCAAUCAGUCAGUAGCAGCGGAGGUGAAGACGCCGGGGUGCUUUCUACUCUUCUGUCAUACAGGCUCUUCCCAGCUUGUCUGUGUUGUGUGCUCAGGCGGACCGCCCCUCCACCCACCUCAAGAUGCACAUGAAUAGUUUAUUAAACC